GCCUGCAUGAAAAAAAAAACUGGUUUCACUUUCAAACAGAUGUAAUUUACCUUAAAUAAUUGUAUCUCAAUCUCUAAAUUGAACUUUAAUCACAUACAGGAGGCUCUUGCAGGGUCUAGCAAGCUAUUAACAUAGCAGGGGAUAAGAAAAUCUUAAUUAAACAGAACUUUCAAUAAAGAAAGCCUAAAUAGGGCUCUCUUUACAGGAAGUGUUUAUGGAAGGCUGUGCAAGUCACAUGCAGGGAGGUGUGACUAGGGUUCAUAAACAAAGGGAUUUAACUCCUAAA